UACGGGGGGGGCAAGCGUUGUUCGGAAUUACUGGGCGUAAAGGGUUCGUAGGUGGCCUGCUAAGUCGGACGUGAAAUCCCUCGGCUCAACCGGGGAACUGCGUCCGAUACUGGUGGGCUCGAGUGCAGGAGAGGAACGCGGAAUUCCAGGUGUAGCGGUGAAAUGCGUAGAUAUCUGGAGGAACACCGGUGGCGAAGGCGGCGUUCUGGACUGCAACUGACACUGAGGAACGAAAGCCAGGGGAGCAAACGGG
rnacentral:rRNA from 1 species